rnacentral:rRNA from 1 species
GACGAACGCUGGCGGCGUGCCUAAUACAUGCAAGUCGAGCGAAGUUUUUCUGGUGCCUGCACCGGAAAAACUUAGCGGCGAACGGGUGAGUAACACGUAAAGAACCUGCCUCAUAGACUGGGACAACUAUUGGAAACGAUAGCUAAUACCGGAUAACAGCAUUAACUGCAUGGUUGAUGUUUAAAAGUUGGUUUUGCUAACACUAUGAGAUGGCUUUGCGGUGCAUUAGCUAGUUGGUGGGGUAAAGGCCUACCAAGGCGACGAUGCAUAGCCGACCUGAGAGGGUGAUCGGCCACACUGGGACUGAGACACGGCCCAGACUCCUACGGGAGGCAGCAGUAGGGAAUCUUCCGCAAUGGGCGAAAGCCUGACGGAGCAACGCCGCGUGAGUGAAGAAGGAUUUCGGUUCGUAAAGCUCUGUUGUUAGGGAAGAAUGAUUGUGUAGUAACUAUACACAGUAGAGACGGUACCUAACCAGAAAGCCACGGCUAACUACGUG